rfam:Trametes pubescens strain FBCC735 TRAPTBscaffold_433, whole genome shotgun sequence.
GGCGCUAUAGUGUAGUGGUUAUCACUUGGGAUUCUGAUUGCAGCGUUCCCAAGACCCAGGUUCGAUCCCUGGUAGCGCCU